rnacentral:rRNA from 1 species
GCUCAUUAUAACAGCUAUAAUCUACACGGCAAUUAUUCUUAAUUGGAUAACUGAGGUAAUUCUUGAGCUAAUACACGCUUUAAUGCCACAUUCGUGGUGCGUUUAUUUGACUAGACAUCAUAUUGGUUGACUCAAAAUAUCCUUGCUAAUUUUUUUUUUAAAAAUAUGCCGUAUGAGUAUCUGCUUUAUCAACUUUCGAUGGUAGGGUAUUGGCCUACCAUGGUGUUGACGGAUAACGGAGAAUUAGGGUUCGACUCCGGAGAGGGAGCCUGAGAAACGGCUACCACAUCCAAGGAAGGCAGCAGGCGCGAAAAUUACCCAAUCUUAGUUAAAGGAGGUAGUGACGAAAAAUGACAAAGCAACACUUUUUAAGUGUUGUUAUUGGAAAUCUUGCAACCUAAAUAGUUGCUUGGUAAAGGAGAGGGCCAGUCUGGUGCCAGCAGCCGCGGUAAUACCAGCUCUCCAAGUGCAUAAAAUGAUUGUUGUGGUUAAAAAGCUCGUAGUUGGAUUUAUUGAAUAAGUUCAGAGUCAUGUAUAUGGCUUCUGAAAUGUUCAUACUUUUGCAAUUAGCAAUAAUUGCCUGUUACUUUGAAUAAAUCA